rnacentral:rRNA from 1 species
UUUUUUUUCAAUGGGGGCAAGCCUGAUCCAGCCAAGCCGCGUGAGGGAAGAAAGCCCUCGGGUUGUAAAGUUCUUUUUUCGGGAAAGAAAAAAAUCGGUUGAAUACCCCCGUGUCCUGACGGUACCCGAAGAAAAAGCCCCGGCUAAAUUCGUGCCAGCAGCCGCGGGAAUACGAAGGGGGCGAGCGUUUUUCGGAAUUAUUGGGCGUAAAGCGCGCGCAGGGGGUUUUUUAAGUCUGAUGUGAAAACCCCCGGGUCAACCCCGGAGGGGCAUUGGAAACUGGGGGGCUUGAGUGCGGGAGAGGGGAGCGGAAUUCCCGGUGUAGCGGUGAAAUGCGUAGAGAUCUGGAGGAACACCCGUGGCGAAGGCGGCUCUCUGGCCCCCCACUGACACUGAGGCGCGAAAGCGUGGGGAGCAAACAGGAUUAGAUACCCCGGUAGUCCACGCCCUAAACGAUGAGAACUAGAUGUUAGGGGCAACUAACCCCUCAGUAUCGAAGCUAACGCAUAAGCACUCC